rnacentral:misc_RNA from 1 species
CAGAGUUGCAAAACUCCCUAAACCAUUGUGAACCUACCCCUAAACAGUUGCUUCGAGCGGCGCCCGGACAGGCCCAGCCGGAGACCACUAAACUCUAUGUUUUUUUAACACUGGCCUCUCUGAGUUUACUGUACUGUAAUAAGUCA